AUACGAAGGGUGCAAGCGUUAAUCGGAAUUACUGGGCGUAAAGCGUGCGUAGGCGGUUUGUUAAGUCAGAUGUGAAAGCCCCGGGCUCAACCUGGGAACUGCAUUUGAUACUGGCAGGCUAGAGUACGGUAGAGGGUGGUGGAAUUCCCGGUGUAGCGGUGAAAUGCGUAGAGAUCGGGAGGAACAUCCGUGGCGAAGGUGGCCACCUGGACCAGUACUGACGCUGAGACGCGAAAGCGUGGGUAGC
rnacentral:rRNA from 1 species